CACAAAUAUCUUACAGUUUCUGCUUCUCAAGUCCUGGGAUUACUAGACUGAUUCUCUGGUUUUUAGACACAUAAAACUCAGUGGUUCAUACAUGUAAUACAAGUCUCUUGCUGAAUGACCAUCUACAGAGCUAUUAAUAUUUUUGCUUGAGGUAAAAAAAAAUACAUAUACUUUAUUAUAACCCAAGGAGCAUGUUGAAACAGACACUUUGAAACCUUCCAUUUUUCCUCAGUCCCAUCUGUGAUGCUGUCUUCUGAGUUCACUCUCAAGGAUCAACUUAACGUUUCUGGAUGCUGCACUGAAAUAUGAGGACAUGGAAAAGUGUCUGUGCUGAACCUGUCUGUGAUCCUAACACAUGCAGUGGAAAAUGAGAAGCACAGAGGACUCUCUCACAUAUCACAUCUCACAGGUGAAUUAAUCAUCUGUCAAAGAUCUUAGCUACAUUCGCUCUGUAUUACAGAAUGUUUGAACACAUUUUCAGUUAAUCAAAUGAUAAAAGUCCGCAUUUCAUUAACUUAGAGAAAGGUGUGAGGAAGCAGCAGAAUGCCCCCUAGCCAGGUCACUUCCCACACAGAGGUCACUUCCGGUUCCGGGAGGUGCCACGGUGUCAGCUGGAAGCAGCCUGGGAAUCCGGACAGAUGGGUGGGGCCACAAUUGGAGACACUGAAGUCAGCUGCUCCCUGCACAGCAUGUCGACCUAGAUUCUGGUGUGGGAGCUGGAGAGGAGAGCAGAGGAGCUGCUGUGAUCGCGGGUGGCGCUGCUGUGGCUGCUGCUGCUCUAAAAUCUGACAGUGCUUCCAGGGCACUGAGGAGCUGCCUCCCCCACCUCCAGCUCCUGGACAUGAGCAGCGACCAGCUCAUGGGGCUGGGACCCGAGCUCCUGUGGCUGCUGCUGCCCCACAGCCAACCAUCUGACAUCCCUGCCAGGGAGGUGAGCAGCAGCCUCCCCCACCUCUGGUUCCUGGACAACAGCAGGGAGCAGCUCAUGGCUCUGGGACCCCAGCUGCUGACUCAGAGCAUCCUGAGCAUGCUGAUGCACAGGAACAACAGGCUUGACAACACAGCCUUGCUGCUGGAGGGACUUGUCCUGUCUCUACUCUGUCUCAGACUCCAGAAUGCUCUUCGCCCUGCAUCUCUGCCUCACACAGCUGCACCUCUCAGAAUGAGUCUGACUCAGAAGCUGAAGCCAGUGAUCCUGCACACAGAAUGCACAAUGUUCUUCUUGGUUAAAAUCUUUGCGUGUAGAAAAUCUUAAACUAAGCAAAGAUAAUUAAAAAAGAAAAUGGAGCUUGAAUUUGAUUGUAACGCUCAGUGGUUUCAUCUUGAAUGUCCAUGUGAGAGUUACAAAGAUGUGUUAGAUUUUGCAUUUCAUGUAUCUGUUUAGCAUCGUUGCGCCUAGAUCUGUGUUUACAUUCUUUAAGUAUUAUUUAUUUUGAAUAGCAGUUCAAAAUUCACCUGGUUGUUCACAUUUUUUAUUUAAGUUUUUGAUUAAAAACUAACAGAAUAGUAUAUUUAGAAGAACAGUCAUAAUCAGCCUGAAAUAUUAUUUCCUGGCAUACUUGGGUUCACUAAAGUAAGACAUCAUGACAGUUGUACUCCCAGAGUUGUUCUGCUCUAUCUGAAAAGUAUGUAAUAAAUAGAAUGAGCCUUCUCCUUGGGUAACCCCUGGGUUUCAGCCUCUGACUAAUUGUAUAUUAAGGACUAAGUCUUUUAAAUGGAAUAUGUAAGUCUCUGCUCUUGUGUUAUUGUUAGUAACUCAGGGCAAUUUAUCUGUGAUUUGUUAAAUUCCUUAAUACAAGCAGGGAUAUGGAGGUUUAUUCUAGAAAUGAUUUUAUAACAACCUACAGCCUGACAGAAUGCAAAACACUUGGGAAUGUGUUUUAGCAGAGUAUGUAAUCAACUGUAUAUAUAAUCCACCAAUCGCAAAGGCCUGGAACUCUUUAUGGAGAGUGUGCUGAUCAGGAACUCUGAGAAACACCUGCCACCACCACCUGGUUCUGGCAUUAUAUAUGUGCAUGGCCACCUACUCACAUUUCAUUUUAAUUUCAUUUUGUUAGUGGCAAUGUUCUCUUAUAAUCAUGCCUUUUGCAUUUCUGGGAGGCCCGAGUCCUGAUACAUCAACUUUCCAAAAGACAGAAUAAGUGUACUUGCCAGAAAAAUCUAAUGGCAAGUAAUCUAAGAAAUGUUGCUUUAUAACAUUGGACUAAAUGAGGGAAAGUUGGACAUGAUUGUGCACACCUACAAAAAAAAGAACUUGUGACGUAGAAUCAGAAGAUCAGGAGUUCCAAUUAGUGCAGGGAUCAUAGUAAAGUUAAAGCCAGCCUGGACUACAUACCUGAAAUCUUGUCUCAAAGUGGGGGUGAGUUGUGGUAGGGUGGAUUUUAACUGUCAAAUGUGUCUCCUUUGUUUGUGCUGUAUACUAAAGGCAAAGUUUCCAUUCAUUGGAAAGAAAAAAAUUAGAACUAGAUGACAUGACAGUUGAAGGUAGUCAGAAGCAAAGCUCAUUGUAUCCAUUCACAAUAUAAGAGUUCACAAAGUCGGUUUAACCAUUGAACAUUAAGAAAUUAGUAUUUAGAAAAGAGGAAUGAAAAUACUAAAAUGGUGUAUCCUUAAAGUGUAGUAGAAUCAUAGUAGCACAAAUUAUUGGCAUUGAAAACUAACAAAUUAUACUAAUGAAUGAUGCAAUAAAAUAAUAUUAAAGCUAUAAUUUGACAUUAGAAAAUAAAUAUUUAACUCUCACUGCUGAUGGUUAAUUAAGGAACCUGUGAUAAUAUCAAGGCUGGUUGGUAAGAACUGAAGGUAGAUUCAGAUUGCAUUAUGUAGUCAGGUAAGCCUUGAAAGGGUGCUUUGUUAGAAUCCAGUUGUAUGCUGAGAAUAUUUGCAUGAUAGGUUUCUUGUACAUAUCAUAUUUCUUUCAGUAGUUUAUUUCGGUAGAUUAUAUUAGUACACUAUAGGGUAAUUCAGGUUUUGUGUUUGUUUUUGUUAUGUCAUGAAACAGGAGUUUCAUGACUGCAGUUGUGAAAUGCUGCUAUAGUGACUCCCCUUACCUAUUCCUCAUAAUAGUGUAGUAAGAUCAUUUUUACUUUUUUGUUGUCUAGAGGUCAUGUUUCUUCUGCUAUUGCAAUUUUGUUAUAGUAGUUAUAAACCCUUUUUUUCACCCAGUGAGCAACAUUAAGCUGGCUAUUCCACCAUUAGGAAAGGCACAGAUGACUUGGCGGGUUCCCAUGUAUCAAACUCUACAUAUUUUGUAAUUAGAUGACUUUAGUUAAGCCACCUAGAAUGUUUUCAUGGAAAACAUUCAGAAUGAUGGGACCAUAUUCUCCUGGAUUAAAUCUUGUACUUUCUAGAUUGAUAUCCUGACCUAAGUAGUAAUAUGAGUAGUCUUUUAGGAAUUCCUUGUAAAUAGCUUUGUAAAUAGAGCAUCUAACUAUGCAUACCCUUUCCAACCUCCUAGAAAGAGGUGUACUGUUUUUUUUUCAUAAAUGUGAAUAUACCACCCUGUGUUUUUUAUUUGUAUAGUUAAACUCUGAGUAGCACAACAAAUCAGUAGUUUUGGCAGAGAUGUGUAUCAUAGGGACAGAUGCAGGACCUAGAGCCUGCUGAGGAAGCUAUAAUCCACAUCUAGAACAUAGAUUGUCUUUAAUAAAAUCUUUAUCGGUAGCUGUUUUCGUUAUCUUUUUUUUUUUGCUUUUUAUUUUAACUUUUUAACCCAUAUGUGGCCUUACAAUUAACAAAAGCUGCUAAUGAUUGCUAAAUUCUUUUGUUUUUCAUAAUUUUUUAUUUUAUAAAUUGACUAUCGACAUUAACUUGCAGAGAUAGGAAUUAGACACUGGAAGUAAGCAGAAUGGAGUUUUAAGUUGGAAAGUGUCCUUCUAGUUAUGAAUCACAUGUUUAUCCAACAAAUAAAUCUUAGAGUUUCAGUAUCAGCAAGAGGGUAAUUUUUCUUAAUACAGCUAUUUUAUAUUCUGAGACAUGGCAAGGCUAGCCUUGAAUUUGAAAUGUAGACAAGUCUGUCCUGUUUGUAAUGCUCUUGCCUAGGCUUCCCUGCUGCUGGAAUCACAGCCGUAAUUCCAUGGGCCUGGCUAGAUAUUUUACUUAGAAAUGUGUCAAAGGUGCCUCUUGCUCAAAAUUUUGAUUUCUAAAUUAUUCUUGCCAAUAUAAAAUUAAGUGUGUAUUGUAAAUUGACUUCACUUAUGUGAAAUUUUGGGUGAUAUAAAUUAUAAUAAAAUUAAUAGUCAUUAGGACAAAACCGUACUGCAGACUAGUUCUAACAGAUACUGGGGAUACAGGGUUUAAAUGAACACUCAAGAAGAGGCUGUUUGCUGGAAUGUUAACUAAAAUAAAUCUUAAAUGGCAGCAAUGUAUAAUGGAAGUCAUUUGCCAGAGAAUUCACUGAGCUAAUGAAUCCCAGUAUAGUAAUAAGGAAUUAUCUUAAAUUGAAUUACCAAAUUUCCUACUAAUGCUGUCUGAAAGCCUUAUCAAUAAUACCAUUACUGCUAUGUUCAUUAUUGUGUCUUCCCUGCUAUUCAUUGCUUCCUACAAAGCAGAGCGUGUUACUGCAGGCUUUUUUUCAGUCUUUUUCUUCCCAAAUUUCCUAUUAGAUAUUAGUUCUUUUUGGCCAGGUUUAGAAUACAACAGGGUAGCCUUAGUUAAUGUUUGCAUUUGGUUGCCUUUUUUAAAUAUAAAAAACAAAUUUUUAGUAGUACUUAUUUACAUAAAACACAAAUGUUCAUUCUUUAAGUUUCCGUUUGUUUGCUUUUAGAUACAAUGUUGUCAGGAAAAGUAUAUGUAUAGGUAAGUCAUCAGGUGUCCAUUUAAAUGGUGCAUUGUUAGAAUCCAGCUGUAUGCUGAGAAUAUUUGCAUGUUAGGUUUCUUAUAUGUACAUGACUUUUAUUUUAGUUCCUUGUUUUAGAAGAUGAUAUUAGUAGACUAUAUGGUAAUUCAGGUUUUGUGUGUGUUUGUGUUAUUUCAUGAAACAUGAGUUUCAUGACUGCAGUUGUGAAACGCUGCUAUAUUGAGUUCCCUUACCUUUUCCUAAUAAUAGUAUAGUAAGAUAAUUUUACUCUUUUUUGUUUAGAGAUUUUAUUUCUGUCUUUAUAAAAGUGAUAUUUCUACUGGUAAUGUUAUUUUAUGAUAGUAGUUACUGAGGUUUUUUUUUGUUUUUUUUGUUGUUGUUGUUGUUUUUACACCAAGCAACAUUAAGCUGCCUAUUCCAAAUGUAUAAAAGGCACAGAUGACUUUGUGGGUUCCUGCAGAUCAAACAUUUAUAAUUAGACGACUUUAGUUCAACCACACAGAAUGUUUUCAUGGAAAACAUUCAGAAUGAUGGGACCAUAUUCUCCUGGAUUAAAUCCUCUAGUUUCUUGAUUGAUAAUUAUACUGACCUAAGUAAUAACAUGAGUAGUCUUACGAAUUACUUCUAAAUAGCCUUGUAAAUGGAGCAUGAAACCAUACAAACCCUUUCCAGUCUCCUAGAAAGAGGUGUACUGUUUCUUCUUUCAUAAAUGUAAAUAUUCCAGACUGUGGCAUAUAAAUAUUUUGUGUGGCGUUCAUUCAACAAAGUGUUUCUUGUGAGUUUUAAUGCUUAUAGUUAAACUAUAUAAAUAGUGUUCCAAAUCCUACUUUUUUUGCCACAAAUGGUGAUUAUAGAGAUAGAUCUAGUGUGUUGUACAUGCAGAAAAAUUUACAUUCUCUGCCUAGCAUCGACAGCUUUUAGUGAAAUCCUCAUUGAUACUUUUUUAACGUUUAUUUUCUUUUUUUAUCCAUUUUGGCCUUAUCAUUUACAAGAGCUGUCAAUGACUGCUAAUUUUUAUUCUUCUUUAUCACACUUUUCCUUUAAAAAAAAGACAGAUUAUAGACAUUAUCUUGAUGAGACAGGAAUUGGUAAUCUCGAUAAUGAUCAUCUUCUGAAGUCAGCGUAUUGCAUCAAAGAGGAAGACGGCAUCAAAGAAAGUCACUAUGGCGUUUGUCAUUGACGUGGCAGGACUAGACACUUGGACAAGAAACUUCUCUUCCUGGGCUGCUUGACAGCAUGCUGUCCAAACUGGACAAGCACGUUACAAUGAAAAGGGACUGCUGAACAUGCGAAGGGACAGGAUGAUUCUUCAAUAACCUCCUUCAUCAAAAAGUCUGCCAAACAUCUAGGCAUGUAAGCUGAAUAGGGAUUCCCCAAUGUUGCAAAGCAACAUUGGUAGACUUUCGAGAUGUCUCUGUAUUAUCCUUCUGGAGUCUUUGGUGCUGUUGAAGACAGAUAUUUGUCGUUAUUGAUUAUAAAUAAUUUGCAUGUAAGACUUUAAACUAAGAAUGAUAGAAUAAAUGAUAGAAUGUUUUCUUUAAUUUUCCAAAUGUUAAUGGAAUAAAUAUGGUUAACCAUUGUUUUUUGCUUAUUAACUUUUGUAAUGUGUAAUUGUACUCUGUUAAAUUUAAAUUUCCUUGUUUUUCCAGACAGAAAGAGGAGAUGAUAUGGGAUGUCCUUCUGUAUGAUGUGAAUAUAUAUUUCUCUUCUUGGUAGAUGAAUAAAGCUGUGCAGGUAAAUGGCCAGGCAGGAUAUACCAAGAUAGGAUGUAUAGGUAAUACAACUAAAGUAGGAGAAUUCUGAGGGGGAAACACAUAGAGCAAGUCUUCAGAUAGAUGCUACAUAGCUGCUAGGAACACAGGUUGCCUGGCCAUUUUCUGGUAAGCCAAAUCAACCUGGAUAUUCACUGAUUAAUAGAAAUGUGUAGGUAAUUAAAGGCAGGUAGGCAAAAUGUAGCCUUUGCCAAACGAUAAACAGUUUAUAGUUUAUAUAACCCGCUGAAUGUUUAUUGGGACUGAAGUGUGGCAGAAUCAGGAUGAACACUGACUUCUGCCCACACAUUGCUGUUAGUGGAACAUUUACUGAGUUACAUUGUUUUGGAAACAGGGAUGGUAGAGAUUCCGUAUUCUCACAGUUCACUGGUCAGCAAUGUGUUCCUGAGAAACAGUGGUGACCCCAAUAGUCACUUUCUAAAUGACAUGUGCAAACUUGUGUUGCGGUUUUUUCCCAGUUGUUGUUUGCUAGUAACAACACAAUGGGGAAGCAUUUCUACACAACCAGCCUUAGCUUAUCAUAGAUUUGGGGGCUAGGUACCAACAAAAGUGAUUGAAGAAAAGUUACUUUUAUUUCUGUCAAAUUAUUUUGAAUGCUCUGACUUCUUUAAUUUCCAUGAAUAGCUUUAUAAAUGUAUACAAAAUUAAAAUGUAACUCAGAAAUAUAAAUCACUAUUGGAGUUUGCUGUUUGGAAAGUUAUACUCCUAUUGUAUCAAUUUGUGUUACCUUUCAAUGGCCAAUAUUCUAAGAACAGUUUUUAAACUAUUCAAAUUCUUGUGCCAGCUUUCCCUAAGGACAUGAAAAAUUAUGAUCUUAUAUUAAGUAUGUAUACCCUCAUGAAUUUUGUAUUAAAUGCCGUGCACUGUUUUAUUAGACUCAAAAAUCUUAAAGAAAUUUAUAAAACAAGUAAUAAAUUAUGUAAACAUACUUUUUCAAA